UCGGCGUUUGUGGAGGCCGAGUAGGGUCUGGUAUGCUGGUUUCAGGGCUGCUGUCUGAAACAUCAAAGCAAUGAAAACUUAAACAAAUAAGCCAUUUCGAGAAGCUCUGCAAGGUUGGGGAGCGCUCAUAAGCAGAAGCUGGGCAUCCCGCUUGAUCUGACUCUCCUAAACCCUGAGGAGCAAGGCUGCAUCUACCACAUGAAAACAACCAGUUGAAAUGUAAAGAAUGUCGUCAGACUCAGAAUUCACGCAGGGCUCCUUCGGUGCCUGGCCUCAUCUUCCUCCCAUCCUGAUGCCGGCCAUUUUCCAACCUGCCCUCUGAGGAGCCAGCCUUAAGGUCUCUCACUUCUCACUCGGAAGCCAGGAUUUAGAAGGUUCUAGAAAACAGAACAGCUCUGGCUCGUGUCCGACUUGCUGAAUCCUCUCUG